UGGGGAAUUUUGGACAAUGGGGGAAACCCUGAUCCAGCCAUCCCGCGUGUGCGAUGAAGGCCUUCGGGUUGUAAAGCACUUUUGGCAGGAAAGAAACGUCAUGGGUUAAUACCCCGUGAAACUGACGGUACCUGCAGAAUAAGCACCGGCUAACUACGUGCCAGCAGCCGCGGUAAUACGUAGGGUGCAAGCGUUAAUCGGAAUUACUGGGCGUAAAGCGUGCGCAGGCGGUUCGGAAAGAAAGAUGUGAAAUCCCAGAGCUCAACUUUGGAACUGCAUUUUUAACUACCGGGCUAGAGUGUGUCAGAGGGAGGUAGAAUUCCGCGUGUAGCAGUGAAAUGCGUAGUUAUGCGGAGGAACACCGAUGGCGAAGGCAGCCUCCUGGGAUAACACUGACGCUCAUGCACGAAAGCGUGGGGAGCAAACAGG
rnacentral:rRNA from 1 species